rfam:Ictidomys tridecemlineatus contig087124, whole genome shotgun sequence.
CAAAAGGUCUUCUUCAAGACCACCUGCUUUUCUGCUACUGUCGUUUU